rnacentral:rRNA from 1 species
AGAGUUUGAUUUUGGCUCAGGAUGAACGCUAGCGACAGGCUUAACACAUGCAAGUCGAGGGGCAGCGGGGGUAGCAAUACCCGCCGGCGACCGGCGCACGGGUGAGUAACGCGUAUGCAACUUACCUAUCAGAGGGGGAUAACCCGGCGAAAGUCGGACUAAUACCGCAUGAAGCAGGGGCCCCGCAUGGGGAUAUUUGCUAAAGAUUCAUCGCUGAUAGAUAGGCAUGCGUUCCAUUAGGCAGUUGGCGGGGUAACGGCCCACCAAACCGACGAUGGAUAGGGGUUCUGAGAGGAAGGUCCCCCACAUUGGUACUGAGACACGGACCAAACUCCUACGGGAGGCAGCAGUGAGGAAUAUUGGUCAAUGGGCGUAAGCCUGAACCAGCCAAGUCGCGUGAGGGAUGAAGGUUCUAUGGAUCGUAAACCUCUUUUAUAAGGGAAUAAAGUGUGGGACGUGUCCUAUUUUGUAUGUACCUUAUGAAUAAGGAUCGGCUAACUCCGUGCCAGCAGCCGCGGUAAUACGGAGGAUCCGAGCGUUAUCCGGAUUUAUUGGGUUUAAAGGGUGCGUAGGCGGCCUUUUAAGUCAGCGGUGAAAGUCUGUGGCUCAACCAUAGAAUUGCCGUUGAAACUGGGGGGCUUGAGUAUGUUUGAGGCAGGCGGAAUGCGUGGUGUAGCGGUGAAAUGCUUAGAUAUCACGCAGAACCCCGAUUGCGAAGGCAGCCUGCCAAGCCAUUACUGACGCUGAUGCACGAAAGCGUGGGGAUCAAACAGGAUUAGAUACCCUGGUAGUCCACGCAGUAAACGAUG